UUUCCAGUAGCAGCUUAGAGACCAACUAAGUUUGUUAUUGGUAUGAGCUUUUGUGUGCAUCUGAAGAAUCUGAAGGUAUCUCAAGAAGUUUCCAACCUCAUACCAAUAACAAACUUAGUUGGUCUUUAAGGUGCUACUGGAAG